CCUACGGGAGGCUGCAGUGGGGAAUAUUGGACAAUGGGCGAAAGCCUGAUCCAGCCAUGCCGCGUGUGUGAAGAAGGCCUUCGGGUUGUAAAGCACUUUCAGUGGGGAAGAAAGCCUUGGGGCUAAUACCCUCGAGGAAGGACAUCACCCACAGAAGAAGCACCGGCUAACUCCGUGCCAGCAGCCGCGGUAAUACGGAGGGUGCGAGCGUUAAUCGGAAUUACUGGGCGUAAAGCGCGCGUAGGCGGUCUGAUAAGCCGGUUGUGAAAGCCCCGGGCUCAACCUGGGAACGGCAUCCGGAACUGUCAGGCUAGAGUGCAGGAGAGGAAGGUAGAAUUCCCGGUGUAGCGGUGAAAUGCGUAGAGAUCGGGAGGAAUACCAGUGGCGAAGGCGGCCUUCUGGACUGACACUGACGCUGAGGUGGGAAAGCGUGGGUAGCAAACAGGAUUAGAUACCCCAGUAGUC
rnacentral:rRNA from 1 species